rnacentral:rRNA from 1 species
UCGGGUCUUAAAUUGACUUGGUAACGCAGCUAACGCGUGAAGUAGACCGCCUGGGGAGUACGGUCGCAAGAUUAAAACUCAAAGGAAUUGACGGGGACCCGCACAAGCGGUGGAUGAUGUGGAUUAAUUUCGAUGCAACGCGAAAAACCUUACCUACCCUUGACAUGUACGGAAGCCACGAGAGAUCGAGGUGUGCUCGAAAGAGAACCGUAACACAGGUGCUGCAUGGCUGUCGUCAGCUCGUGUCGUGAGAUGUUGGGUUAAGUCCCGCAACGAGCGCAACCCUUGUCAUUAGUUGCUACGAAAGGGCACUCUAAUGAGACUGCCGGUGACAAACCGGAGGAAGGUGGGGAUGACGUCAAGCCCUCAUGGCCCUUAUGGGUAGGGCUUCACACGUCAUACAAUGGUACAUACAGAGGGCCGCCAACCCGCGAGGGGGAGCUAAUCCCAGAAAGUGUAUCGUAGUCCGGAUUGUAGUCUGCAACUCGACUACAUGAAGUUGGAAUCGCUAGUAAUCGCGGAUCAGCAUGUCGCGGUGAAUACGUUCCCGGGUCUUGUACACACCGCCCGUCACACCAUGGGAGCGGGUUUCACCAGAAGUAGGUAGCUUAACCGCAAGGAGGGCGCUUACCACGGUGGGAUUCGUGACUGGGGUG